UACGUAGGGUGCGAGCGUUAAUCGGAAUUACUGGGCGUAACGUGUGCGCAGGCGGCGCUGCAAGUCGAGUGUGAAAUCCCCGAGCUUAACUUGGGAAUUGCGCUCGAAACUACGGCGCUGGAGUAUGGCAGAGGAAGGUGGAAUUCCACGUGUAGCGGUGAAAUGCGUAGAGAUGUGGAGGAACACCGAUGGCGAAGGCAGCCUUCUGGGCCAAUACUGACGCUCAUGCACGAAAGCGUGGGGAGCAAACAGG
rnacentral:rRNA from 1 species